rnacentral:rRNA from 1 species
CUCAGACAGGCCACGACACGCGGACACGGACUGAGAACGUAGCACGAGACGGACGGACUGAGGACGCGGUACGACGUAGAGCAGAUACCGUCGUCCUCGCACGCCACACCCACGGCGGUUGGGUUGGGUAUCGUCGGUGUUGGGAACGAGGAGGGAAGGAGCAGUUGUAUCGGCGGCGCGGUGGAGCGAGGAGGCCAAGAGGGAGGGGGUAGUCGGGGUCCUCGAGAAGGAGAAGAAAGAUGUUCUAGGUAGCGGAGUGCUCCAGGAAUAGGUGGGGUCGAGCACUCCUUCAGCACCCUCCUCCCCGAGUUGGCCCGCAGCGGUAGGCCUCUUCUUCCUCUCCGUGCCUACGGUCGAUCCCUCCGCCUAGCCAAGCGGAGGCGACACAGCACUCACGGUGGCGGCGGAGAUGUAGGUGGAACGAGGCGUAUUGUCGUAAACACGCCUUCGCCCCUAUCCGCUGGUGCUCGUCUACCGCAGCCGCCGUUGCCGUUGUGCGUGCCACGCACUCCCACUCCAGGCCAUUCUACCCGAGCCGGAGGGGUGUACGCAAGUCCUACCGCACGGUCUGCCGAGCCUUACACGCGCGGGCCGAGUGUUCUCCAUACGAAGUCUCGUGCGGCCGCCGUUGUACGUGGCGCUCCAGGGCCUCGUCGGGUCGUUCUCGGGGAGGCAUGACCUCCUUGGGACGCAGAGGUAGGAGUGGAGGUGGGUGUCGGUUCCUCUCCCUCUCUUCCUUUCCUCCCUCUUUCUCUAUCCUUCACCUCUCCCUCCACGCCGUAGCUUGCCCACUCCCAGUGACCAGACGUGGCCGCUCCAGCCCGUGCUAGACCACGAACCACCAACGAGCUAGACGAGGAACCUAGUCCCGGAGGUCCUGGUUGUUCCUCCGAGAGUCCGAGCAGAAGAUUGGACGUCGACGGAUAUGUCCGUCGCCCUCGCGGCGAAUCUGGUACCCCCGCCGAACCAGGUCGAUGUCGCUCGCGUAGACUAAGUUUGUGUAUUUCCACUCGAAGUGUGUAGCAAGGGAGAAAAUAAGAAGAGUCCGUUGCUCCCUGUUCACCUACAGCACGACAGUACACCUUCCGUUGUACACGAUUAAGUAUACACCUCAACCACAACUCGGACCGCCAUCAUCUGUACUUUCCACGGGCAGCGAACUAGAACUCUCAACUAAGUAUAUAAAAAACUUUGAUACUUCUGUAAAUAAUCUACCGGUACUAACGAAGAACAGAAAAACCACACAAAACAAGAUGACUAUUCACCGUUCUUUCUUUUUUCGACGAACUUAAUAUCUAACACAACAUUCUUUUAAUACACUUUCCUUAUACCUGACGCAUAUAUCCAUACUACGUUGGAAAAAAGUAGGGCUCUAACCUAAUGUGCAAGGAAUACAAAUAUACCUUAUCAUGCGGACUAAAGAAAAGUAAGUGUCGAGUUGAGCUCGUUUAGAACUAAAGAACUAAAAAAAACCAGCUGCAUCGUAGACGCUGACUGAAAGCAGAGAUCGGUCAAAACGAGACAUUAACAUCUUAUAUACAACAGUACACGAACGAAGUCUAAAGAUACAGGCCUACUGAUAUACUUGUUUUGAGUGUUCCAGGACAUAGUAGUUGAUUGUUGGUUGAAGAAACAAAGUAACAAGUACACACGGAAGGCCAGGUAUUCUAUAUCAACACGAACUGGACGGAAGGCAACUGUUAGUAGAAAGUUAACGUAUGAUACACCAACCUACAACCAACUUGAUGACAACGGAAUAUUUGUUUGUAAAAAGAUAGAUUAGAAAAGAAGAAUGAAAACGUUAUUCGACGUACACAAAGGUUUAUGGUCUAUGAAGAACGAAAACCUUCUUCGGAAAACUGGAAGAAUAAUACGUACGUUCAACAACUAUGUACUCAAUAACCGAAGGACGACGUUUGACUUUAUUAAGGAGACACUCGAUAGUUUUUGGCAUACACCGAUUGGUAAGAAAAUACAAAUUGGAUCGUUUCCUGUUUAACGAAGAAGAAAAGUUUUUGAUUUAAAACUACAGACUUCAAGCACACCUUGUGAUAUAAUACUUAAUUGUUAGUCAAGUGUCCAAGAACUAACAGACAUCGGAAGAGACGGUACGGUCCGAAGAGAGGCUAUUCUAAAAUUUUCGUGAAGUGUGAAAUAUAUCUGGAUUUUCAACAUAAUACGUUCUUUGGAGUUUUCGAUAAACCGAAACCGUAAAGUCAUUAACUGGAUACGACGAUUACAGCAGCACAAUGAUAAUAGGCAAUAGUGAACCUGUCCUUCUAGUUAUUAAAACACCUGCGUAUUUAUACGGUUACAAAAAAAGUUGUAUAAACAAUAUACUGGGUGUACUCUACUUAUAAAAAUCCACGAAUUCUAAAAAAAAACCCACCUCAAGUUUAACUUCGAUCCAUUUUACCCUAGAAUAUAUCUAUUACUCUAUUUACACAUCAACAGUGAGGAGUGGAGGGAGGACAACUGGACACCAGCAGCGGUACCCAGGAGACAUAGUUCUUAGAACGAUGAAUACUUUAUCUCUAUAAACUCCGAAGGAAAAUCCGGAAAGUUGGGUAAUAAAAUCGAAGGAAACCGUCUACUACGUGUUCUAUGUUUUACUAGAUGGGGACAACGGGUCAAUAAGGUAACACAGUUAGUCCAAUAAGGUAAAAACAACAAAGGAAAACCCAAGUUGAUAACUGUAAAAGGGAGACAGCAUCACCAAUCAUCAUUUAAUUAACUUUACUUAUAUACGCAUGUUACGUUAAAGAAAAAUCAUCUAUAGUGUCUCUAAGAUAACAUGAACGCAAGAACGUAUCACUCGAUUCGUACGAUAUGUAUUAUUGUUACAGUAGUUUAACCC